UAGUUCUUAAAAAAGGAUUGCAAAUCCUUAAAAACAACAGAACUUAUAAGAUUUA
rnacentral:tRNA from 1 species